AACUAGGGAUUAGAUACCCUAUUAGUUACAUUUAAAAUUUAGUAGUAAGUGUUGAACAUCGAAACUAAAAUUAAUUGGCGGCUUUUUAAAUAUUUUAGAGGAAUUUAUUCUAUAAAGGAUUUAACACCAAAAUCUUACUUUUAUUUGUAUUAAAACAGUUUACAUACCUCUAUUUUAAAAUAUUUAAAUAUAUUUUAUUAAUACUAUUAUUUUAGUAAUUUUUUAGGUAAAGGUGUAGCUUAUAUAAAAGAAUGAAAUAAAUUAUAAUAAUUUUUAUUAUUUUAACGAGAUUUAAAUGUAAAUAAUAAUUUAGUAAAAUUUAAAAGUAAAAUUAGUAUAUUUAGCUAAUUUGAAUUAGAUUUUAUUAAGUGUACAUAUCUGCCCGUCACUCCUCUUUUUAGAGAUAAGUCGUAACAUAGUAA
rnacentral:rRNA from 1 species